rnacentral:misc_RNA from 1 species
GGAAGGAUCAUUACCACAUCUCUCUAAAAGCAAAAGGGGGUGUAGGGUUUCGGCCUGAAACCCCUCUUUGUGUUCCGCGUACCAUCUGCCUGGAAAUCUGGGGUAACCCGGGUCUUCAGGUGGUCACCUUUCCGGUGCUGCUAGACAGCGCCCAUUCCUUUAUUUUUUCUCCAUUUCGCAAGAAGUGUUGAAACAAAUGAUAAUGAUGUCAUAACUGAUCGUUAGGUUGUUUCAUUCGAAAUGACCCCAACAUCUAAACGACAAAACACUUUCAGCAACGGAUGUCUUGGCUCCCACAACGAUGAAGAACGCAGCGAAAUGCGAUACGUCAUGCGAAUCGCGAAAUCCAGUGAGUCAUCAAAAUUUUGAACGCAUCUUGCACUUCCCCCUGGGGAGUAUGUCUGUUGGAGUGUCUGUUCAUCCCCACCUGCAAAUAGCUUGUCUAAAUGCACGGAGCCGGCCGCUUCCCGUUAAAAGGAAUCGAGUCGAGAUGAACUGAUCUCGUGUUUCGAUACGAGUUCUCAAAGAAAUGGACCAUCGUUCCUCAUACCUCGUGUGGGACGACGCGACGUAAAGUGGUGCCCUAAAAAGCCUGCUCUUGCCGUGUUGCGCCCCGUGUGAACCGAACCUGAUCCCCCCCUUCUUUCGAUCGGACCUCCAAUCAGUCAAGAAUACCCGCUGAAUUUAAGCAUAUAACUAGGCGGAGGAAAAGAAACUAACCAGGAUUCCCUUAGUAACGGCGAGUGAAGCGGGAAGAGCUCAGAACGAAAAUCUUCGGAAUUGUGUUCUAGAGAGGCCGUAUCAGUUCCAACAGCGGGCAAAAUCUCCUGGAAUGGAGUGCCAUGGAGGGUGACAGCCCCGUCUAUGCCUGCUGAGCGGAACGUACGAUCGGUUUUCAACGAGUCGAGUUGUUUGGGAUUGCAGCUCUAAGCGGGUGGUAAAUUCCAUCUAAAGCUAAAUAUUGGUGGGAGACCGAUAGCGAACAAGUACCGUGAGGGAAAGAUGAAAAGAACUUUGAAAAGAGAGUUAAAUAGUACCUGAAAUUGCUGAAAAGGAACCGAUGGGAGGUAGUGUUGGCCUGCAGUCCUUGUGUCUGUGGGCAAGUCAGGCUUCCUUUGUUGCGCGGGAGAGGCUUUCCAACCUGUAUGGGUGGAUUUUGCCGUCGUGCGGUCGAGGGACUCUGACGAAAUGCCUCUUAUCAACCCGUCUUGAAACACGGACCAAGGAGUCUAACAUGUGUGCGAGUGCUCGGGGUGUACCCCCCAGCGCGGAAUUAACGUGAAGGUGGCUUCGGCCACUGAGGUAGGAUGCUUACGCUGCACUAUCGACCGACCAUGAUCCCUCGGGAGAAAGGUUUGAGUGUGAGCAUACAUGUUGGGACCCGAAAGAUGGUGAACUAUGCCUGAGUAGGGCGAAGCCAGGGGAAACUCUGGUGGAGGUCCGCAGCGAUUCUAACGUGCAAAUUGAUCGUCGAACUUGGGUAUAGGGGCGAAAGACUAAUCGAACCAUCUAGUAGCUGGUUCCUCC